rnacentral:rRNA from 1 species
GGUAGAAGUUUCGAGUCCCUGGCGUCACGGAGUGAACGCUGGCGGCGUGCUUAACACAUGCAAGUCGAGCGAAGUCGCUUUGUUUUGAAUCUUCGGAGGAAGAACGAAGUGACUGAGCGGCGGACGGGUGAGUAACGCGUGGGCAACCUGCCUCAUACAGGGGGAUAACAGUUAGAAAUGACUGCUAAUACCGCAUAAGACCACGGUACUGCAUGGUACAGUGGUAAAAACUCCGGUGGUAUGAGAUGGGCCCGCGUCUGAUUAGCUAGUUGGUGAGGUAACGGCUCACCAAGGCAACGAUCAGUAGCCGACCUGAGAGGGUGACCGGCCACAUUGGGACCGAGACACGGCCCAAACUCCUACGGGAGGCAGCAGUGGGGAAUAUUGCACAAUGGGGGAAACCCUGAUGCAGCGACGCCGCGUGAGCGAUGAAGUAUUUCGGUAUGUAAAGCUCUAUCAGCAGGGAAGAAAAUGACGGUACCUGACUAAGAAGCCCCGGCUAACUACGUG